UUCCUACGGGUGGCAGCAGUCGGGAAUAUUGGACAAUGGGCGCAAGCCUGAUCCAGCAAUACCGCGUGUGUGAAGAAGGCCUGCGGGUUGUAAAGCACUUUCAGUGGGGAAGAUAAUGACGUUACCCACAGAAGAAGCACCGGCUAACUCCGUGCCAGCAGCCGCGGUAAUACGGAGGGUGCAAGCGUUAAUCGGAAUUACUGGGCGUAAAGCGCACGUAGGCGGCCUUUUAAGUCAGAUGUGAAAUCCCCGGGCUUAACCUGGGAACUGCACCUGAUACUGGGAGGCUAGAAUGUGGGAGAGGAGAGUGGAAUUUCCGGUGUAGCGGUGAAAUGCAUAGAGAUCGGAAGGAACAUCAGUGGCGAAGGCGGCUCUCUGGACCAACAUUGACGCUGAGGUGCGAAAGCGUGGGUAGCAAACAGGAUUAGAUACCCGGGUAGUC
rnacentral:rRNA from 1 species